rnacentral:rRNA from 1 species
GACGAACGCUGGCGGCGUGCUUAACACAUGCAAGUCGAACGGAGAGGCCCUGCUUUUGUGGGGUGCUAGAGAGGCGAACCGGAGAGGAACACGAGAGUAACCUGACCUGGACUUUGGGAUAACUUCAGGAAACUAUGGCUAAUACCGGAUAGGAGCUCCUGCUGAUUGGUGUGGGAUGGAAAGUUUCGGCGGUUGGGGAUGGACUCGCGGAUUAUCAGCUUGUUGGUGGGGUAGUGGCUUACCAAGGCUUUGACGGGUCGCCGGCCUGAGAGGGUGACCGGCCCCAUUGGGACGGAGAUACGGCCCGGACUCCUACGGGAGGGAGCGGAGGGGUAUAUUGUACUAUGGGAGGAAGCCUGCUGUGGCACAGCCGCGUGGGGUAUGACGGCAAUCGAGUUGUAACCCACUUUCGCCUUUGACGAAGCGUGAGUGACGGUAAUGGGUAAAGAAGCACCGGCUAACUACGUG